rnacentral:rRNA from 1 species
UCGGGAAUUUUGGGCAAUGGGGGAAACCCUGACCCAGCAACGCCGCGUGAAGGAUGAAGUAUUUCGGUAUGUAAACUUCGAAAGAAUAGGAAGAAUAAAUGACGGUACUAUUUUAUAAGGUCCGGCUAACUACGUGCCAGCAGCCGCGGUAAUACGUAGGGACCAAGCGUUGUUCGGAUUUACUGGGCGUAAAGGGCGCGUAGGCGGCAUGACAAGUCACUUGUGAAAUCUCUGGGCUUAACCCAGAACGGCCAAGUGAUACUGUCGCGCUAGAGUGCAGAAGGGGCAAUCGGAAUUCUUGGUGUAGCGGUGAAAUGCGUAGAUAUGUGGAGGAAUACCGAUGGCGAAGGCAGCCCCCUGGGCUAACACUGACGCUCAUGCACGAAAGCGUGGGGAGCAAACAGGAUUAGAUACCCAGGUAGUCCCUGAGCGGGCUGGCAAGGCGCAU